rnacentral:rRNA from 1 species
UCGGGAAUUUUGGGCAAUGGGCGCAAGCCUGAUCCAGCCAUACCGCGUGAGUGAAGAAGGCCUUCGGGUUGUAAAGCUCUUUCAGACGGAAAGAAACGGUUACGGCUAAUACCCGUGACUAAUGACGGUACCGUAAGAAGAAGCACCGGCUAACUACGUGCCAGCAGCCGCGGUAAUACGUAGGGUGCGAGCGUUAAUCGGAAUUACUGGGCGUAAAGCGUGCGCAGGCGGUUUGGUAAGACAGAUGUGAAAUCCCCGGGCUUAACCUGGGAACUGCAUUUGUGACUGCCAGACUAGAGUGUAGCAGAGGGGGGUAGAAUUCCACGUGUAGCAGUGAAAUGCGUAGAUAUGUGGAGGAAUACCGAUGGCGAAGGCGACUCCCUGGACUCAAACUGACGCUGAGGCACGAAAGCGUGGGUAGCAAACAGGAUUAGAUACCCCGGUAGUCCCUGAGCGGGCUGGCAAGGCGC